rnacentral:rRNA from 1 species
UACGAAGGGUGCAAGCGUUACUCGGAAUUACUGGGCGUAAAGGGUGCGUAGGUGGUCGUUUAAGUCCGUUGUGAAAUCCCUGGGCUCAACCUGGGAAUGGCAGUGGAUACUGGACGGCUAGAAUGCGGUAGAGGGUAGUGGAAUUCCCGGUGUAGCAGUGAAAUGCGUAGAGAUCGGGAGGAACACCAGUGGCGAAGGCGGCUACCUGGACCAGCAUUGACACUGAGAGACGAAAGCUAGGGGAGCAAAUGGG